UUCACUUCUUCUCUUCCUUCUCUGCCUCAGCAGCCCUCUUCUGGCGGGCACCAACAUGGCGCUGGUUCAUCCUCUCAACACGGAGCUUAGCAUAGGCCUUGAACGCCUUCAUCUCAUCGGUGACCUUCACAACCUCAACUGAGCGCUUCUCACCACGAGCAAUAGGCAUGUAGUCACCCUGGACCUGGGUGGCAGUGGCAAGUUCCUCGGCAGACAACAAACUGCAGCCAUACCUUGACCUUGCGAGCACGCCUUGGGAAGAUAACCAGCUUGGCCUUGUAUGUCUUGAGCCUCUGGACAUUAGCCUGGAGUCCCUCAAG
rnacentral:sRNA from 1 species